AAACGUCCCAAGGGGAUGAAAUUGUUGUUUGAGCUAAGGGCAGCGGGGGGUGGGGGAUGAACCAAACGCAAUGUUACUGCGCCCAAAUAAACGACGCACCCUACAUACCGUGAAAGGAGUUGAGUGUUAAUGACUGUAGGACUUGGGACAUGAUAUUCGUAUCCGCUACAGAGUGUGUAAGAACUCACCUGCCGAAGUAAUAAGCCCUUAAUAUGGAUGGUCUCCAGUCGUUUGCCUAUACAUUGCCGCUGGCGGUAUGGCGCAUCGGGGGCUUAUAACCCUGCCAAGAGACCCCAAUGAGUA
rnacentral:ncRNA from 1 species